rnacentral:rRNA from 1 species
GAGUUGUAAUUUAGAGAAGCGUCUUCCGCGCUGGACCGUACACAAGUCUCCUGGAACGGAGCGUCAUAGAGGGUGAGAAUCCCGUCUUUGGUAUGGACCCCCAGUGCUUCUGUGAUGCGCUCUCGAAGAGUCGAGUUGUUUGGGAAUGCAGCUCAAAAUGGGUGGUGAACUCCAUCUAAAGCUAAAUAUUGGCGAGAGACCGAUAGCGAACAAGUACCGUGAGGGAAAGAUGAAAAGCACUUUGGAAAGAGAGUGAAACAGUACGUGAAAUUGUUGAAAGGGAAACGCUUAAAGUCAGUCGCGUCUGCCAAGACUCAGCCUUGCUUCGGCUUGGUGUAUUUCUCGGUCGACGGGUCAGCAUCAAUUUUGUCCCUCGGAUAAUGGCAAGGGAAAGGUGGCACCUUUGCGGGUGUGUUAUAGUCUUUUGUCGCAUGCGAGGGGCGGGAUUGAGGAACUCAGCACGCGCACCCUCUGGGGUGUGUCGGGGCCUUGGCCCACGCGACGUGCUUAGGAUGCUGGCGUAAUGGCUUUAAACGACCCGUCUUGAAACACGGACCAAGGAGUCUAACAUGCCCGCGAGUGUUCGGGUGGAAAACCCGUGCGCGUAAUGAAAAGUGAAAGUUGGGACCUUUGUCGUGAAGGGCACCGACGCCCGGACCAGACCUUCUGUGACGGAUCUGCGGUGGA